rnacentral:rRNA from 1 species
GACGAACGCUGGCGGCGUGCUUAACACAUGCAAGUCGAACGGAAAGGCCCUGCUUUUGUGGGGUGCUCGAGUGGCGAACGGGUGAGUAACACGUGAGUAACCUGCCCUUGACUUUGGGAUAACUUCAGGAAACUGGGGCUAAUACCGGAUAGGAGCUCCUGCUGCAUGGUGGGGGUUGGAAAGUUUCGGCGGUUGGGGAUGGACUCGCGGCUUAUCAGCUUGUUGGUGGGGUAGUGGCUUACCAAGGCUUUGACGGGUAGCCGGCCUGAGAGGGUGACCGGCCACAUUGGGACUGAGAUACGGCCCAGACUCCUACAGGAGGCAGCAGUGGGGAAUAUUGCACAAUGGGCGGAAGCCUGAUGCAGCAACGCCGCGUGCGGGAUGACGGCCUUCGGGUUGUAAACCGCUUUCGCCUGUGACGAAGCGUGAGUGACGGUAAUGGGUAAAGAAGCACCGACUAACUACGUG